ACUCCCGAUCACGUUUCUAAAUUCUAAUUUUGGUUCGUUUCUUCUUCUUAAUUGAGAUUUUGUUUAAGAGAAUCUGUGAAAUUGAGUGUCUUGUCAUUUUUGGAAUUUGAAGGAGCGUCGCUAGCAGCAGUCGAAUCACGCAAGUUCAAAUGGAAUUUGCUAAGGAGCAUUGUUUAAAUACAAACAAAAAUGAAGUUGCUAAGAAACAAAAAGUAAGACGCAUAGGGAGAAAGUUUCGUCUGGAGAAUGUUCGUCGUGCAAGAAACAAGAACGAAGUUGCCGCAGAGCGAGAGAAACAGUUUCUUGCUAAUAAUAAAAAAAGAGCAAGUAAGUUUUACUCAAUGCU